GCUCUUGAGAGAGAGCGAAAAAAAAUAUUACAAAAAAGAAUAAACAAAGCUUUGGGGCGCGACUGCCCGAGAAAAAUACAAUUAUAGCUGCUAAAAACAUGGUUCUCAGACCUUUUUUUAUGAUAAAAACUCGUCUGCUUUUUUUCACUCAAGCGCGGCGGCUAUUUCAUCAUAUGUUGAAAGUUUCCCCCGUAAUGACUUUGUAACCUUAGGCAAGAAUUUAACGCAGAUUCGACCGUUUCGCCUCUGUUGCCUACCGUGCCCAGUAUUUAUUUCAACUGACGGAAUCUUUUAAUGUGCCGUGUCUUAAGAAGUACACAAAAAAUAUGUGGUUUGUUAAAAUGAUUACUUAUUGGAACUUUGACUGCAAUCCUCUGAUUGUGGUCAACGGACCUAGAUUGUUCAUCGAUAUCAUCUUAGAAAAUUUCGCAAGACUAAGCGCUAUUAAAAAAGGGUGUAUCAUCUAGGUAAGAUGUUCCGAUGCGUAGGGAUCCAAUUAAAUGAAGCAUCGAUCAAAGUGAUGUUGAAAAUGGUUUAAGAAUGCAAUAAAGCAAUGGGACACCCAAUCAACAGCGUUCAAACAUCUCGUUAGAAACCGACGAGAUAUCGCUAUGAUCUCGAAAACAAAAAUCAUGUAGUUGACAUGAAGACGGAACUUAAAACUUCAUCUAGCACAUUGGAAAGGACAUAGAUGGAUUAGUGGCUCAGAAUACAAAUCAAGAGAGAAAAGAGCAAUUUACAAUACACGAACGAUGGCUUGACGACCUGGUUCGAAGGAAAGGUUAACCGCAAACCGCACAAGAGGUAAAA